GGGCCUGGGUGCAGAGGGUGUAACCCAUGUCACCUGUCGUAGACCGGCCCCGACAAAAAUACCUCUUGCCAGGGUAGGGGCGUGAGAUCGUAGAAAUAGAAGUGAAAUGAAAAAUAAUUAGACUGAGACCAUAAAAAGUACCGGGAGGGCAUUCCAGUGGAUACUGAUAUUUUUCCCUGUUUAGUUUUCCUUAUCCGUUUAUAACCAAAUACAAAAGGAGAAGAAGGCAACCAAAGACGUCUUUAACUUGAUACAAAGUCCAGGUAAAACAGUUAAUGACUUUUAACACUUUGAGGUGUCAAGUCAUCGGCAUCUGGUGGUUUAGGUCGCGAAGCCACUCUAGACCGAGUAUCCUGAAAGCAGCCGCAGUCCCUUCCUAGGUGACCUUAUAUUACAAAAGGAAGAGCAGACGUGUGUUUGCCUGGCCUAGCUACCCGUCAGGAUGACAACAGGCUCACCGUUUUGGGCAUCCGCAGCCCCUCACCUCCUAACUUUCCCUGCAGUUUAGGCACCGGCAUGGGAGCCUGGUCAUGGAGAGUGUGGUGCCUUCUGAUAGCGGCCACUACACCUGCGUGGUUCAGAACACGUUGGGCAGCAUCCGGCAGACUUACACCCUGGAUGUCCUGGAGCGCUUCCCACAUCGGCCCGUUUUGCAGGCUGGGCUGCCGGAAAACCAGACGGCCACCCUAGGAAGCGACGUGGAGUUCCACUGCAAGGUCUACAGCGAUGCCCAGCCGCACAUCCAGUGGCUGAAGCACGUGGAGGUGAAUGGCAGCAAGACAGGCCCGGAUGGCAGGCCCUACGUCACCGUCCUCAAGACAUCAGGCAUUAACACAAGCAACAAGGAGCUAGAAGUUCUGUCUCUGCGCAAUGUCACCUUUGAGGACUCGGGGGAGUACACCUGUCUGGCAGGCAAUUAUUUUGGAUUUUCCCAUCACUCUGCAUGGCUGGAGGUGCUGCCAGCUGAGAGAGAGCUGGCCGAGGGCAGUGCAGCUGGCAAGUGGUCUGCAGGCCGCAUCAGCUCCUGGGUGGGCUUCUCCAUCUUCAUCUUGACGGCAUCGGUUGGGACGCUCUGCUACCUGCGUGGAGUCUCAGGAAAGAACCUGGGGUCUCCCGGUGUGGACAAUGACAUUCGCUUCCCACCCGAGCAAGAGGUGACCUCCGUGAACUCUGGUCUACCCUGGGUCCGCAUCGUCCACCCAAUUUCAAGAGACUCUACCGUCAUGGCCAGUGUUUCUGAGCCUCCGCCGCCAGCCGACCCCAAGUGGGAAAUAUCGAGAACUCGGCUGACACUCGGUCAUUCUCUAGGAGAAGGCUGCUUUGGCCAGGUUUUUAAGGCAGAGGCUGUUGGCCUUCACCUGGACAACACUGCCGAGCCCGUCACCGUGGCUGUGAAAAUGCUGAAAGAUGAUGCCAACGGCCAGGACUUGUCGGACCUGGUGUCUGAGAUGGAGAUGAAAGUUAUUGGCCGGCACGAGAACAUUAUCAACCUGCUGGGGGCCUGCACACAGGGCGGGCCAUUGUAUGUGCUGAUGGAGUACGCAGCCAAGGGCAACCUCCGGGACUUCCUGCGGGCACAAAGGCCGCUCAGCGCGGAAUGCUAUGGUGCCUCCAGGCUGCCAGAAGAACAGCUCACCCGCAAAGAUCUCGUGUCCUGUGCCUGUCAGGUGGCCCGAGGUAUGGAGCACCUGGCUUCUCGGAAGUGCGUUCACAGAGACUUGGCUGCCAGAAACGUGUUGGUGACUGAGGACAGCGUGAUGAAGGUUGCAGAUUUUGGCCUGGCCCGUGAUGUGCACCGUCUGGGAUACUACAAGAAGAUCACGCACGGCCGGCUCCCUGUGAAGUGGAUGGCACCAGAGUCCCUGUUGGACGGAGUCUACACCCACCAGAGUGAUGUGUGGUCCUUUGGAGUCCUGCUCUGGGAGAUCUUUACCCUGGGGGGCUCCCCAUACCCUGGCAUCCCAGCGGAAGAGCUUUUCAAGCUGUUGAAAGCCGGCUACCGCAUGCACAAGCCUGCCGACUGCCUACACGACUUGUGAGCAAAGCGUUCCUUACUCACUCCUCUGACUAGUCCCUGGGAGUGGCUGGUUUCCUACCGGGGCUCCUGGCGGGAGGCUGGCAGCCUUGGGUGAGGCAGGGAUGGACAACGGGCCGAGAAACCACAGCCAGGUUUGCCACAGGUAUGUGGUCAUGCGGGACUGUUGGCGUGCGGUGCCUUCCCGGAGGCCCACCUUCAAGCUCCUGGUAGAGGGAUUCGAUGGCAUCCUCACGCACGUCAGCCCACGUACGCCUGGACCUACCGAUGCCUUUUGAGCAGAGCUUGCCAGGUGAUGGGGAUACCGGGAGCCCCAGUUCCUUAGAGACGACUGUUCACCCACGCCCUGCUGCGCCCAACCCGACCCGAGCAUCGGAGGCCUCAGACGUGAGGGGCCCAGGAUCCCA